rnacentral:tRNA from 1 species
GCGCCCGUAGUUCAAUGGACAGAACAUCAGCUUGCGGAGCUGACGGUUGCAGGUUCGAUUCCUGUCGGGCGCA